ensembl:miRNA Mir6993 microRNA 6993
GGCUCAGUGGGAGAAACGGGUGUCUGUGUGGUCUCUGCUGCUGACUUGCGUUUGUUUCCUCACAG